rnacentral:rRNA from 1 species
GAUGAACGCUGGCGGCGUGCCUAAUACAUGCAAGUCGAGCGAACAGACGAGGAGCUUGCUCCUCUGACGUUAGCGGCGGACGGGUGAGUAACACGUGGAUAACCUACCUAUAAGACUGGGAUAACUUCGGGAAACCGGAGCUAAUACCGGAUAAUAUAUUGAACCGCAUGGUUCAAUAGUGAAAGACGGUUUUGCUGUCACUUAUAGAUGGAUCCGCGCCGCAUUAGCUAGUUGGUAAGGUAACGGCUUACCAAGGCAACGAUGCGUAGCCGACCUGAGAGGGUGAUCGGCCCCCCUGGAACUGAGACACGGCCAAGACUCCUAGGGGAGGCAGAAGUGGGGAUUCUUCCGAAAUGGGCGAAAGCCGGAGGAAGCAACGCCGCGUGAGUAAUGAAGUUCUUCGGUUCUAAAACCUCUGUAUUAGGGAAGAACAAAUGUGUAAGUAACUAUGCACGUCUUGACGGUACCUAAUCAGAAAGCCACGGCUAACUACGUG